ACCCGUACCGUCAAUCUUUCAGAAAACUCAUCACUGAGUGGAGUUCAGUGGUCGCCGACUCCUCGUGGCACCGCCCUAGAGCUCUCAGAAGGUUUCUGAGUUGACGGUUGCCCCCUCCCCCUGGCCUCCCACCCAGGUGUCUGUCAAGGUCGCUGUAAACCAAUCUCGUCCAUAUGGCUCUAGAAUAAAACGAAACGCUGUUAUACAGAAUAUCUGCGAAGGGUGAAGAAGGGGUGAAAAGCAAAAUGAUCAGAGUGAACCUGGCAAUUUAGCACACAAACAAGAAACUCCAACUGGAAAACUCAGUCUCUAAAAUGAAAGUAUUUUUAUGUAUUUAAAAGGAAAUAUUAAAAAUACGAUAUGCUUUUUAUUCA